rnacentral:rRNA from 1 species
UACAGAGGGUGCGAGCGUUAAUCGGAAUUACUGGGCGUAAAGCGCACGUAGGUGGCGACGUAAGUCGGGUGUGAAAGCCCCGGGCUCAACCUGGGAAUUGCAUUCGAGACUGAAUAGCUAGGGUACGGUAGAGGGAAGUGGAAUUUCCGGUGUAGCGGUGAAAUGCGUAGAUAUCGGAAGGAACAUCAGUGGCGAAAGCGACUUCCUGGACCAGUACCGACGUUCAGGCACGAAAGCGUGGGGAGCAAACAGGA